rnacentral:tRNA from 1 species
UGUGUUUAAAAAAAAAGCACUAAAAAAAACUUUUUUUUUAAUACUGAAAAUAGUAGAGUUCUUAAAUUCGC